ACUGAACGCCGGCGGCAGGCCUAACACAUGCAAGUCGAGCGGGGUUUUCGGACCUAGCGGCGGACGGGUGAGUAAUGCGUAGGAAGCUGCCCGAUAGAGGGGGAUACCAGUUGGAAACGACUGUUAAUACCGCAUAAUGUCUACGGACCAAAGUGUGGGACCUUCGGGCCACAUGCUAUCGGAUGCGCCUACGUGGGAUUAGCUAGUUGGUGAGGUAAUGGCUCACCAAGGCGACGAUCUCUAGCUGGUUUGAGAGGAUGAUCAGCCACACUGGAACUGAGACACGGUCCAGACUCCUACGGGAGGCAGCAGUGGGGAAGAUUGGACAAUGGGUGCAAGCCUGGUCCAGCCAUGCCGCGUGUGUGAAGAAGGCCUUCGGGUUGUAAAGCACUUUCAGCGAGGAGGAAGGGGUGUGUGUUAAUAGUACACACCUUUGACGUUACUCGCAGAAGAAGCACCGGCUAACUCUGUGCCAGCCGCCGCAGUAACAC
rnacentral:rRNA from 1 species